AGAGUUUGAUCCUGGCUCAGGAUGAACGCUAGCGGCAGGCCUAAUACAUGCAAGUCAAGGGGUAGCAAUACACCGGCGGACGGGUGCGUAACGCGUACAGAACAUACCCUUAAGCGGGGGAUAGCAUUGGGAAACUGGUGGUAAUACCCCAUAACAUUGAGAUUUGGCAUCAAAUUUCAAUUAAAGUUCCGGCGCUUAAGGAUUGCUGUGCGUCCGAUUAGCUAGUUGGUGGGGUAACGGCCCACCAAGGCGACGAUCGGUAGGGGGUGUGAGAGCAUGACCCCCCACACGGGUACUGAGACACGGACCCGACUCCUACGGGAGGCAGCAGUAAGGAAUAUUGGACAAUGGAGGCAACUCUGAUCCAGCCAUGCCGCGUGAAGGAUGAAGGCGCUCAGCGUUGGAAACUUCUUUUGGAUAGGAACAAAACACCCGAUGCGUAGGGUACUGAGGGUACUAUCAGAAUAAGCACCGGCUAACUGCGUGCCAGUAGACGCGGUAAUACGGAGGGUGCAAGCGUUAUACGGAAUCACUGGGAUUAAAGG
rnacentral:rRNA from 1 species